GGCGGAGGAUCCUUCUUCGGGCUCUUGAAGAUAUCUAUCUUCUCUCUGUUCUCUUCGCUCGAUCAUUUCUUGGCCCUGCAAAUCUUUCUGUUCCUUUUCCUCUUUUCGCUUUUGCUCCGGACCCCAUCUCGGCGGUGAUCAUUGCGUCAUCAUGUUUUUCCCGAACCCCCCCGAAUGCCUCGCCGCCUGCGGAAAGAGGGGAGCUCCAAUGAUGGCGGAUUUCUGCAUGGUUUUGCUCGAAUGCGGCUUUCUCACGCAGGGUCCAUACGAAUGGGCGAGACACCGAGGGGAAGCUAAACGGUUCAACUCUACGCUCUUGAAGAUGGAGUUCAAUUGGGCAAACCUUGCACAAGUGUGGAUGCUUGCUAAGAGUCCCAGCCAGCGGCUAUCCCGAAUGCAGGUGCUGCAGCCAUGGGAAUCAGAGAAUCCGAAUCCGGCGAGGAGCCGACGGCCUGUUGUUGUAGCUGGUGCUGGAUUGGGAAUGCUUCCUCGUUGAUCAGGGAGUUCAGGAACGAUGAGAAGACGUCGUCCCCGCAGCAGUUGAGGUCCUCCUCCUCCUCAUUAGACAGUCCGUGGCUGCUUCUCAAGCCCAUCACAUGGUAAUGCUGGGUACCCGGCAAAUAACUGGCUUCACCACCGUGAGCUGUCGCAGUCCCAUUUUGAUACACAGCCUCCGUAUUAUCGGCACUUUGGAUCUGAUCAUUUUCUUUGAGGAUGGCUGGGCUGCCACUGCUGGUUUCCUCGAGGCCAGAAGAGAUGGGGCUAGGGUUAGGGCUUCGAGGGCGAGGUGCCGCUUUGGAAGGAGGAGGUUUCGCUGGAGGAUUGCUGCUGGAGUUCUGGGUUUCUGGAUUGAGCGGCUUGUGCGUCCUCGGAUCAAUUCCUUGACUGAUGAGCUUCUUGCUAAGGCAGUGGUGGCGAAUCAGUGAGUGGGAAGAGAGAACUAAGUGAGCGACCGAGAGGAGAACAUCGAAACCCUAACCGGCCCCUCCCGAGAUAUUCAAGAUUCAGGAAUGCACGGAAACCCUAGCCAAGAUCGGGAGAGCCCAACCCCGAUCGAUCCGGCUCGAUGAUCUUCGAGAUUUUCGGGGGAGGAGGGGGAGAAAGGGUUACCGGUUGCCGAGGAGGCGGUGGAGGCGGAGGAUGAGGUCCUCCUCGUCGGGGGCGAUCUGGCCGCGCUUGACGGAGGGGCGGAGGUAGUUCAUCCAGCGGAGGCGGCAGCUCUUGCCGCAGCGGAGGAGGCCGGCCCGCUUGGGGAGGGUCCGCCACCGGCCCUCGCCCUCGCGGUUGAUGUAGCCGGCGAGGAGCUCGUCCUCCUCCGGCGUCCAGGGCCCCCUCUUCAGCCCCACCUUGCUGCAGCACGGGGUCUUCGUCCCUCCCGACGACGACGACGGAUUCCUCAUUUGGGUCGCCUGCCUGCCCGUCUGUAUUUCCAGCCGCAGGGAUUGGGGAAGCCGAGCCGAGCCGAAGGGAGUGUUAUCCCGUUUUCCUCAGGCGCGGUCCGUGGGGGCGUGCUCUCUACGCGCCGGUUCUUGGGCCCAGCCCGAGGCCCAAAUUAAAUCCCAUCCCAUUUUGUAAUGCGCCAGUGUUGCCUUUCUUUUGGGUUAGGGUUUUGUUUAGUAGGGAACAGAGAUCACAGUAGCUGGAUUGUUGCAGGCUGAAUUUCUAAAAAAUUUGGGAAGAGGAUACAUCGCACGUUCUUUCCCCAUUUAAAUUUCAUGUUCUGUGGCCAUCAUGCA